rnacentral:rRNA from 1 species
CGCACGGCCGGCCUCCUCAUCGAAUCUAUAGCGCUGGGCUACCCUCCUCCCUCUGGUCUCCUUGCUGCGCCCACGGCGAGCUCGCCUCACCACCGGAGCACCUCCUGUCUGGUGCACUUCCUCCUCUCCUCCCUCCCGUCUACUCCUCCCUUGUCGUUGCGCCCUGCCAUGCUUCCGCCGCACCACAAGCAGAGCGCCGGCUGUCUGCCGCACUUCCUCCUCUCCCUCCUCCGGUCACCGCCACCCGCUGCGCCCACGACCAUCCACCGUGCCCACCAGGCGCGACACAAGCAUAGCGCUGGCUAUCUGUCGCGCUUCCUCCUCUCCCUCCUACCGCUGCGCCCACGGCACCCACGCAUCCACCUGCCCACCAUGCAUGCCGCCACCCCUGUACGCCUCCUCCGCUUCCAGACUGACUCCCGGUCCCACCUUCAAGCCGUCGUCGCUGCUCACUGAGCCAUUAGCAGCUCCCCUCACAGCACACUUCCUAAGCUCCGAGCCUGACGCGGGUCGUCCGCCAUGGUCACCUGCAGCGUCGUCCGCCAUGGUCACCGUGCACCCAGAAUGGACCCUCUGUAAACCGUUCCUCUGCUCCACGACGUGGAUGGUGAGGAGCCCGAUUCAAAGGCAAGGUGAGCACUUCCGCAUUUACUUCACUGUUGCUCGCUAGGAGUCUGAAGCUGGAAGCUGGAGAUCCUCAAAUUUUUUGUUUGCUGACAUCAAACCAGCCCACUUUGUGGACGCCUUUGCAGCCCAAUGCUCCAAAUGGCCCAUGUUGUUUAUCUUCUCCGAUGCCAUCACUUAAACCCUUCAGCUGCUGGUCAUUAGUGAUUGACGCUUCGCUUCCUCUCCCCAUGAUCUCUGCAGAAGAAACUGAUGGAUUCAUCUUUAAAUUCGGUGCUCCACCUGAACUCACUUUGUACUAAUCGUCCUCCAUACGGGUGGGCGUCCUCCAUACCGCUCAUACCCGUACCACUGGUGAGAAACUCCCUCCCCUCUCCUUCUCGACAUUCCCUAUGACGUAUUGAUCUAUGUCCGUGAUUCAACCUCGCGCCGCCGGCUCCCAUCCUCCUCCCUCUCCCACAACGGCCAGCGACGCAUGUGUUCGUGGCUCCAAGGACCAACUUGCUUCUUCCGCUUUGAUCUGAAGAUGACGAUCCGGAGGAGGCCCACGACGGUGUCCCGUUUCUUCUCUGGUAAAGCUCUUCUUUUCUUCUGAAUAAGGCUUUUGUCAAGUUCUUGUGCUCUUCUUUAAUUAUUAUUUUGAUGAAACACAGCUAGAUCGCUAUUUUCAUUCAUUAAGAACGGGAGCACACCUCAAAAUGAGGGAAAUUUUUUGUUACAGACCCACUGUGCAAGGUCGAAGGAAAUAAGAAGGAUGAAUUACAGUAUGAGUUUAAGUAGGAUUAGAUGAUUAGUGAUUGAAAGCUGCAAAGCGGCAAAGGCCUGGACUGGUUAAACUUUUCUUAUCCGUGAUUACCCAGCCACCGGACACUCUUGAUCUAACCUUCUGCAAGGUGCCCAGCUCCAGAACAAUGGAAUCACACUUAUGCAGGAACAACGAAGCUUCGAGAUUGAAAAUACGGUCAGUUCGCUCCAUCCAUAUGCUCCACCAAAUAAUCAUGACCAUGGACAAGAAAGUGUGCACUCGGCAAUCAGGAAUAUAGUCCAGAGCAUGCAGCCACCAGUCAAUCAAGCUAAGAUUAUUCAACUGCGUAAAAAAUGGUAGUGGUACAAAGAUAAAUGGUGGGGUGUGAAGCAGCUGGUGGGUUACGGGGUAUACCAUCAUCGCAUCACACGCCGUCGCCAUCCGCUUACAUGAAGGUUUCAGAAGCUCCCUCUUGCCACCACUGUUAUCUUUUGUCUAUUUGAUUAGCGCUGUUCUUUCUCUUGAAUAUUUUAGCUAUUAGAAAUGUUGGAUCUCUUGGUAUUUGCCCAUCGACCUGAUAAGUCGUACCUUUUUGAUAAAUAGUUUGGUAAAACUACAUCAUUCAGUUCAUUUCUUGGAUCACCUCCAGUAGUAGUUAAUUUUAUUUUUUAAAUCAAAUGGAAGUUUUCAUAGAAAUUUAAAGACUGCAUAUAUUGGUCCAGAUAUUGAUUAUACAUUACAUAUGAGAGGAAAUUGCAGAGUGCCAUAAACAACCUGCUGAAGUCUAUGAUUACAGAGAGGUGUAGGCGUGUAGCCAUGGUGGUGAUAUUGUCUGAUUGUGAAGAUCAGGGGCGGAGCCAGAUUUGGAGCAUGCUCUGGGCUGGCAAUUGUCAAUUUGCUUUUAAUGUUAAUCAACACAUUUUCUCUCUUAUCUCUAUACAUCUUUACUGGCGCUAUCAGCGAUACUGCAGGGUUACCAUGAUACGUGAUUUUCACAGAAACAUGAAAACGAGAGUACAUUUGCUUCGGGAUGGUGAAUUUAGGAGGAGACAUACCAGUAAGUACUCUCUUACCUUAAUAGCAUACCAGUAAGUACUCUCUUACCUUAAUACCUGAUUAAAUCGCUCAAAUUAGCAUCACCAUGCUAUUUAUUUGCUCCCUUCAUGUAUGUUGUAACUCACAUGCAUACAAGUUAUAGUUCUCGGAAAAAUUUGGAGUUCCCACCGCCUGCUGGUACCCUGUCUUGCUACCUACUGUGAUUAUCCUAUAUAAUUUUAUGAUUAUUAUUUUUCCAUGCCUUCUGUAAUUAUGUUUGCAUUAUUUUCCAUCCCAUCAAUGGAGGGCUGGAGUUUCAUUAUUCAUUUUGUCAUGCACAACAUCAAAACAAAACCAAAAGAUAACAUCAGAUUGUAGAGCAAUUAUUGAGCACUAUAAGUUGUUUCCCUAGCUCUAUAGGAUGUCGUGCACACUUCAUGUUUAAAACUUUCCUUCCAAUUGUCGAAGAACAGGUUGCAUCACUGUCAUGCCUCACUUUCGCAUGGCAUCUUGCAGCUUCCACUCAUCGGCGAUCUUAAUGGAGUGGCUAUGAAACAAAAAUAUUAGGAGUAAAUAUGAAGAGUCUUUUCUCCCAUUUCAGUUUCUUUGAAGAAUCAAGAAUGCCAAGUACAACACAAAUUCUAAUUGUUGCUUUGCUACGAAUGAAAAAGAUAAAAUCAUUAGAGUAGGGAACUUCUAGACAAGGUACAACCUACAUGUAUAAAUCUUUGAAAAAAGUUAUCAUGCCAGUAUAUGUAAAUAAAAUUUAGUUUUUUUCACAUUACUACUUCCUUCGCAACUAAAAGAACUUAAUAAAUUUAUGCUAUUCAUGCACAUUAC